ensembl:misc_RNA Metazoa_SRP Metazoan signal recognition particle RNA
GCCAGGUGCAGUUAUGCAUGCCUGUAAUCCCAGCUACUCGGGAGGCCAAGGUGGGAGGAUCAUUUGAGUCCAAGAGUACUGGGCUGUAGAGUGCUACGCCGACUGGGUGUCUGCACUAAGUUCAGCAUCAAUAUGGUGACCUUUUGGGAGUGGGGAACCACCAGGUUGCCUAUGGAGAGGUGAACCAGCCCAGGUCAGAAAUGGAGCAGGUCAAAACUCCCGUGCUGAUCAGUAGUGGGAUCAAGCCUGUGAAUAGCCACUGCACUCCAGCACUCUAAAAAACAAACAA